AAGGGCCGUAGUCUAGCCUGGUAGGAUGCGCGGUUCGGGUCCGCGUGACCCCGGGUUCAGGGGCGACCCGCCUACAAAUCCCGGCGGCCCCACC
rnacentral:tRNA from 1 species